rnacentral:tRNA from 2 species
GGAGAGGUGGCCGAGCGGCUGAAGGCGCACGCUUGGAAAGCGUGUGUGCGUUCACGCGUACCGCGGGUUCGAAUCCCGCCCUCUCCG